AAUUACAAGCCAAACUACUCUUCUUAUUCUUCUGCUUAGCUACACACAUGGAGUUGUUUUAUGAUAUUCACGGUGUUGAUCAAAAUAGCAGCUAUGAAAACGAUGGUGAUGACAUGUUUUAUGCUGAACUUGAGCGGAGAAUUCUUGUGUUGAUUAAUACGGCCGAUGAGAGCGGUGAUCAUGCGAAUAAUUCGACGAGGCGAAUUAAUAAUUAUUCGUCUCGUCGAGAUCAAAGAUAUUUUGAUUGGACGGAGACGGAGAAUCCUCCUAGCUCGGUGCCGAGCACGAUUUCGAACUUGUGGAGAUCAGCUAAUGUUAACGGAACUGGAGUCUUCAUUCCUCAUAUGGUUAAAGCUAAAAGAAGAAACAAGAAUCGAGGAAGAAAAGUAAAAACGGAACGAGAAAUUUACAAGGCAAGAGCGGUGGCAAACAAGAAUUGACUCGUAUAUUAGUCAAAAGAAGUUAGCUAGAAAAUUUGUGAAUUCACAUAUACAGAUAUACUUGCUUUCGCAAUAAGAAUACCUCUCGCAAUAGCUCGAGAGUAGCUGAUUCAGCUCCCUUGAUAGCAAUACAGAUUUGUAAUUAUAUUUCAAUAUUGAAUUCAUUAUUUCGUUUGAAGAUUGCAAAA